rnacentral:rRNA from 1 species
UGAAUGUGGACUUGGAUGUUGCCGUUUUAUCACGGCUUGUCUUAAAUGCCUGAGUGUACCCUGUUUUGCAGCGUAUCCAGUGUAAUAAACAUUUCACUAGAGUUGGUCGAAAGACCGCGUUGACUAUAUGGGCUCUAUGCUUCAAACCGUCUGCCAUGUGGACAAUUUCUUGACAAUUUGACCUCAAAUCGGGUGGGACUACCCGCUGAACUUAAGCAUAUCAAUAAGCGGAGGAAAAGAAACUAACAAGGAUUCCCCUAGUAACGGCGAGUGAAGAGGGAAAAGCUCAAAUUUUAAAUCUGGUGUCUUUGACUCCCGAGUUGUAAUCUAGAGAAGUGUUUUCCGUGUCGGACCGUGUACAAGUUCCCUGGAACGGGGCGUCAUAGAGGGUGAGAAUCCCGUAUAUGCCACGGACUACCGAUGCUCUGUGAUACACUCUCAACGAGUCGAGUUGUUUGGGAAUGCAGCUCAAAAUGGGUGGUAAAUUCCAUCCAAAGCUAAAUAUUGGCGGGAGACCGAUAGCGAACAAGUACCGUGAGGGAAAGAUGAAAAGCACUUUGGAAAGAGAGUGAAACAGUACGUGAAAUUGUUGAAAGGGAAGCGUUUGAAGUCAGUCGCAUCUGUUGGGGUUCAGCCUGGCUUUUGCCUGGUGUAUUUCCUUUCCGAUGGGUCAGCAUCAGUUUCGACCGAGGGAAAAAGACAUUUGGAAUGUGGCUGUCUUCGGGCAGCGUUAUAGCCUUGUGUUGUAUGUCUCGGUUGGGACUGAGGAUUGCAGCGCGCCAUAAAUGGCCGGGGGUCGCUCCUCUCGACACGCGCUUAGGAUGCUGGCAUAAUGGCUUUAAGCGACC